UACAGAGGGUGCAAGCGUUAAUCGGAAUUACUGGGCGUAAAGGGCGCGUAGGUGGUUUGAUAAGUUAGGUGUGAAAGUCCUGGGCUUAACCUGGGGACUGCGCUUAAUACUGUUAAGCUAGAGUACUGUAGAGGGAGGUGGAAUUUCCGGUGUAGCGGUGAAAUGCGUAGAUAUCGGAAGGAACAUCAGUGGCGAAGGCGACUUCCUGGACAGAUACUGACACUGAGGCACGAAAGCAUGGGGAGCAAACAGG
rnacentral:rRNA from 1 species